rnacentral:rRNA from 1 species
UAUAAGAGGUCCAGCCUGCCCAGUGACUUUGUUCAACGGCCGCGGUAUUCUAACCGUGCAAAGGUAGCGUAAUCACUUGUUCUUUAAAUGCGGACUAGUAUGAAUGGCACCACGAAGGUUAUACUGUCUCCUUUUUCCAAUCAGUGAAACUAAUCUUCCCGUGAAGAAGCGGGAAUAGGACUAUAAGACGAGAAGACCCUAUGGAGCUUUAAACAACAUAGCAUUUGUCACGCAACUUAUGGUUUCUGAACACUAACUUCAUUAGACAAUAUGACUUUAAGUUUUUGGUUGGGGUGACCAUGGAGUAUAAUAGAACCUCCAUGCUGAAAGAAACUUUUUCUAAGCUAAGAACUACACAUCUAAGCAUCAACAUACUGUCAUCUAUUGACCCAAUAUAUUUGAACAACGAACCAAGUUACCCUAGGGAUAACAGCGCAAUCCACUUCAAGAGCUCCUAUCGACAAGUGGGUUUACGACCUCGAUGUUGGAUCAGGGUAUCCCAGUGGUGCAGCCGCUACUA